rnacentral:rRNA from 1 species
GAUGAACGCUAGCUACAGGCUUAACACAUGCAAGUCGAGGGGUAACAAGGGGAAAGCUUGCUUUCCUUGUUGACGACCGGCGCACGGGUGAGUAACGCGUAUCCAACCUGCCUAUAACUAGGGAAUAACCUUGCGAAAGUAAGACUAAUACCCUAUGACUUCCUUUGAUGACAUCAGAUUAGGGAUAAAGAUUUAUCGGUUAUAGAUGGGGAUGCGUCUGAUUAGCUUGUUGGCGGGGUAACGGCCCACCAAGGCAACGAUCAGUAGGGGUUCUGAGAGGAAGGUCCCCCACAUUGGAACUGAGACACGGCCCAAACUCCUACGGGAGGCAGCAGUGAGGAAUAUUGGUCAAUGGGCGGAAGCCUGAACCAGCCAAGUAGCGUGCAGGAUGACGGCCCUAUGGGUUGUAAACUGCUUUUAUACAGGAAUAAAGUUAGCCACGUGUGGUUAUUUGUAGGUACUGUAUGAAUAAGGACCGGCUAAUUCCGUGCCAGCCGCCGCGGUAA